rnacentral:lncRNA from 1 species
AGAGUACAUAAGCAUUGGAGACUGUACAAGCUAUCCCCAAGGGAUACAUCCGUCUCAGACACAGGAGUGGCUGAGAUUCCUGCUCUGUACAAUCCCACAGAGAGUGUUUCUCCUGCAGUGGCUGUACACCAGUCCCCAGAUGCAGGAUGCGCUCUGCAGUUACCUGUUUUCAGGAACUACAAAGCACUGAAGACCAGCUACCACCACUACCAUGUGGUCGUAUGGGGUGGAAGUGGCUUGUAAUACCGUUAUGAAUACUGAGACAUCACCGCUCUAGAAGUGAUAUUUGGCCACCACUUGCUAGCAAGAGUAAAGAGGCAGACAUUGAGUGGAGACAAGAACAGCCAAUGUCUGGAAAUCGCUGUCGGAGACUUCUGAUGGAGAAAACUGGCCAUAAAUGACAGAGAAAUCUGAAGAAGGGUUGCAUGCAAUGAGGUUAUCCUUCAGCUGUGAUAUGUGGCAUGCUUGAAC